UACAUUUUUUCCUUAUUUCUCAUUGCCGUGCGACAAACCCUCAGGUGGACGUGGACUCUCGCCGUCGACCACCUCCUCUCGAACCAUCUUGUUCAUCUUGGUUGAUCGAAUCUCUGUAGUGUCGUCUCCAGUAGUUCUCUUCACGCUGCAAGAUAUGUUCGAGCUUGUAGGGGGUCUUGUUGAAAAUUGUUUGGCUGGAUUCAAUAGUUUUGUAUUUG